AACGAACGCUGGCGGCAGGCCUAACACAUGCAAGUCGAACGCUGUAGCAAUACAGAGUGGCAGACGGGUGAGUAACGCGUGGGAACCUUCCCAGUGGUGCGGAAUAGCUCAGGGAAACUUGAGGUAAUACCGCAUAAGCCCCUAGGGGGAAAGAUUUAUCGCCAUUGGAUGGGCCCGCGUCGGAUUAGCUAGUUGGUGAGGUAAUGGCUCACCAAGGCAACGAUCCGUAGCNGGUUUGAGAGAAUGACCAGCCACACUGGGACUGAGACACGGCCCAGACUCCUACGGGAGGCAGCAGUGGGGAAUCUUGGACAAUGGGCGCAAGCCUGAUCCAGCCAUGCCGCGUGAGUGACGAAGGCCUUAGGGUUGUAAAGCUCUUUU
rnacentral:rRNA from 1 species